CUGCUGGACUGCUGAAAUAUUCAGAACGGGACUUCGGAGCGCUACGGGAGACAUCAGGAAAGAUCUGUUCAUUAUAUUUACGAUCCACGGAUACAUAUCUCCAUGUUUAUUUUAACUUCUUUCGGUAAGAAGUCACGUGACCACUGGAACCGGAUAUCCUGCUCACGUGAUUUACAGAAACCUGUGGGGCGAGAGCCACCGCGGGGGCGCAGAUAAUAGUUCUAGGUAAUAGUUAAGUUCUAGUUCUAGUUGUAGUUGUAGUUAAGUUCGAGGUAAUAGUUGUAGAUCGUAGUUCUCUAGUAGAACUCCAGAACAUGGCCCUGCUCCUGCUCCUCACUGUGACCUGCUGGAUGUCUGUGGACUCAGGUUCAGUCCAGAAAACCGUCUCGGCUGUUGAAGAGCAAGAUGCCACUCUGCCGUGUCAAGCUCCGAACAAAGAUCAGACCAUCUCUUUGGUGGAGUGGAGCAGACCAGACCAGAAGAAUCAGGAAAUUUUCUUAUACAGAGACGGACACAUCGAUCCAAAUAAUCAUCCUUCUUAUAAGAACAGAGUGAAUCUGAAGGACAGAGCGAUGAAGGACGGAGACGUGAGUCUGAUCCUGAGGAACGUGAUGCCUGCUGACGGAGGAAUCUAUGAGUGUUAUGUUGUCCAGAGUGAAGGAAACACGUUCACCAGCUCCGUCUCUCUGUCGGUGGCAGCAGCUGCAGGUUUGACUUUAUUUAUUCAGCACACAUUGAAAAAAAAAGAAAACGGUUCAAAGAGGGAACGCUGCCCACAGCGCUCGUACAGAGAUUCCAUCCCUUUUAAUGAUCAUGACAAAUGAACCAUUUCUGUGGCGCACAUCACAUGUUGAUAAAGAUAACUGCUGUGAAAUCAUCAAAAGGAAAAAAAAGGAAGCAUGAAACUGUGAUAAUGUAUAGAACAGGCCUUCUUAAAGAGUGAGAGGGAAGAUAUUGCUCUUAUGGAAGAAGGUGAGUCGUUCCAGAGCUUCAGGGCCUCUGCAGGACAGACUGACCUCCUGCUGUGAAGUGACAGAAACACAGUGGAGGUCGCUGUUUGCUCUGUCUGGUAGGGAGGAAUCAGCCAUAUCAGAGAAAGCAACUGGACUUUGAGGGGCGACAGGAAGACAUUGGUUACUGUGAAUAAACUUGAGGAUAAACCAACAGGUCUGAUGUUUAAUUUGAAAAUGGUUAAGGUUGAGUACUUUAUGGAAAGUGGUGCUGAUGGAGCAGAUCAGUCUGAGUGGGAAGAAUCUUCUGGAGGACAUCCAGAACAAAUUACAGUGACAGAAGAGACUGAAGAAGAAGCUGUAACAUGGGUUUAGAUGAGCAGAGGGAGGGAUGGGGGGAGAGACUCUUCCUCAUGUGUCCAUCAUUUCACCGGCUCUUUGACUGACCAGAUGUGUGUGUUGUGACUGUUUGGUCUGCUGCUGCUCCCAGAGGUUUAAUAGCUUUCAUUUGCAAGAUGUCUGUUCUGUUGAGGUCUGUUUCAUCAUGUUGCUGCUGAGAGUUGCUCUUCAUCAUCCUCUACCUCACUCUGUUUCUGUCUGCAGGAGACUCAGGAGGACAAGGAGAGGAUGGAGGGACAGAGGACAGAGGGACAGAGGAUGGAGGAAGAGAGGACAGACGGGGAGGACAUGUUGGUUUGAUUGUUGGUUUGACUGUAGCUGCUCUGGCUGUUGUUGGUGGUGUUGGUGUUGUUAUGUUUCUAAGACACCAGAAGAAGAGUCACCUAUACACUGAAGCCUCUGGAGACUCUUGAUCCUCCUCGAUGAAGACGAUGGAGACCCAGAAGAUCAGUCUGGACUCACAGAGUCUUCAGCCUCCAUCUCCUCCACUCUGGGUUCUUCCUGGAGGGUCAGCUGGUCUCCGCCUUAGUGAGCAGCUUAAAUCCAUCUCAGAACGUCAACAGGAACCAAACUGAAUCCAUAAACCCACUGUUGCUUAUUCUGUUGUCACUGUAAAUAUUGAGUGAUGCUAUUGGGGUCAAAAGGUCACGUGACGUCCCAGUGCAUCAUGGGCCGUGGUCUCCAUUUUUAACAGGAUCAGGGUUUGUUUACAGGCUGCAGGAACAGACGCUGUGUCAGCAGAGACACUGUGGAGGAUCAGGACGUGACGGACCGAACAGAGACCAGUGAAGAGGUGGAACGGAUCCAUAUCAGCAGGUUUAUUAGACCACUGGUUUCAACUAAGUAGAUUUCUUCACUCUUUUACCACAUUUAAGGGUUUAUCUGUUUGUAGAUCUUUUAUUUUUAUUAUUAUUAUAUUGUUAUUCUCAGAGUUAUUGAUCUGUUCUCUCAUGUCUUUUGCUUUUGAACCUCAUUUGCUCUGGAUGUUCAACAGCGUCGUUGCACUACAUUUUUUCCUUGAACAAGCAGAAGACCCAGAAGAAGUGGUGACGUUAUUAUUAAUGGGUAAACGUCAGAAAAUAAGCAGAGGAAGAUUCAGUGACACCGAAGUAAUGUCAAUUUGUCACGAUCAACUCUGAGCUAUCAAAAGAUUAAUCUUUAUUCAUUCCGAUUAAUCGUGAGAUUAGGGUGAGUUAUUGGCUCAAUGAAAAGAAGUCAGAGCUCAGACGGCUCUGAAUGUCAUGUCUGAGUUCAGGGUUUAUUCCAGUUCAUGCUGUCGUCAUUGGAUCAUUGUUUUUAUCCGCCCAGAGCAGAUAAAUUCCUCAUUUGAAGCGUAAAAUGUUCCAGACCUCGUCCAAGUCGGUGUUACUAUGAUUGUCCUCUUAAUACUUAAAGUUGUUCCUCCUCUGAGUCCUGGUUUCAUCACUACACUGUUGCUGCUUCUUUUUUUUUUUUUUUUUAAGAUGGAUUCCUGAAGUCGACCAGUAGGCCAAGAUGGGACUUUAUUUUGAAAGAAAAUCCAAACGGUCAAAAAGGAAGUUUAUUUUCUUUGAUAAUAUAUUAAGACUCUCUAAGAAAUGCUUUAAGUUGAAGGUUUAAAACUGCCUCCAAAAGCAAAGUGACAGAAUCAUUCAGCCGAUUGAAAUAAACACGAUUAAUUGCAAUUCAAAUCGUGCCGUAUCUCAGCAGUGUUUAUAAAUCAACAUCCGCACAAAAUCAAUCUUUUGACAGCCCAACACUGCUUUGAAUGGUAAAUCAUCCAGCUGGAUACGAUUAUCUUGUCUAAACAUUUCAGACUCUGCUGUGAGACUCUUCUGGGGAAGGUGUUGAGCUGCUGGAGCCGGUGGUGCAUCUCUUCGUUUCUCCAUCGGUGACAGACGGUUCCAGCUGACACACUGAUCGCUGUGAUCUGUGUCGAUCCUGGUAUUUAGUAACUGGGCAGGUCUGAAAUCAAACAGAUUGAACAAGACAGAAGAAAUAAAGCAUCAUAAACAACCUUUGCUGCAGGAAACAAACUUUUCAGCUGCCUGCAAUUCCCAGCAUGCACUGCAGUGCGAUGUCACCCUUUGAAGCCCCAUGAAAUUUUGAUAUUUUAUUUUUGCUAUUUCGUCUGAGCCAGGAGUGCUUUUAUUUUGAAGGGACUGCUGUGAUCGUCUUGGUAACAGUUUAUUUACAGCAGAUUAAUAUUUUUUGUGGUUGUUUUAUAAAUUUAGCAGCAGGGCAGAACUUUUUAUUAUUGUAUUUGUUUUUGGUGUGGUGUGGGGUCAUUGUGUGACUGUUGAUUUGUAUCACAGACUAUUGAGACACUGUUUUAGUUCUGAGAUGGAUUUAAUGUGUUGCUGUAUUUUCUGUUCAGCUGUUCCAUUGAUCAGAGGAGAGAAUAAAAUGAUUGAUCUUCAGUCCAGUUUCUCUAUUUCCACUGAGCUGCUCUAUUCGAUGUUUUCCAUUCUUAUUUUCUGUAGAACAUUUCUUCAGAUUAAUAAUGUGUAGUUAAAACAUUUCUAAUAAGCUGAUUAAUCCUCUGCUGUCUGAUUUGAUAUCCUCAACACAGUGAUCACAUCUCUGAUAAAUAUGCAGUAAAAGUUGAGUCAUUGUUUCAUCAGGAACU
ensembl:lncRNA